rnacentral:rRNA from 1 species
GAUGAACGCUAGCUACAGGCUUAACACAUGCAAGUCGAGGGGAAACGGCAUCGAAAGCUUGCUUUUGAUGGGCGUCGACCGGCGCACGGGUGAGUAACGCGUAUCCCACCUGCCCAUCACUUGGGAAUAACCUUGCGAAAGUAAGACUAAUGCCCAAUGACAUCCCACGAAGGCAUCCGAAUGGGAUUAAAGAUUUAUCGGUGAUGGAUGGGGAUGCGUCUGAUUAGCUUGUUGGCGGGGUGACGGCCCACCAAGGCAACGAUCAGUAGGGGUUCUGAGAGGAAGGUCCCCCACAUUGGAACUGAGACACGGUCCAAACUCCUACGGGAGGCAGCAGUGAGGAAUAUUGGUCAAUGGGCGAGAGCCUGAACCAGCCAAGUAGCGUGCAGGAUGACGGCCAUAUGGGUUGUAAACUGCUUUUAUAAGGGAAUAAAGUGGGUCACGUGUGACUUUUUGCAUGUACCUUAUGAAUAAGGACCGGCUAAUUCCGUG